rnacentral:rRNA from 1 species
GACGAACGCUGGCGGCGUGCUUAACACAUGCCAGUCGAACGGAAAGGCCCUGCUUUUGUGGGGUGCUCGAGUGGCGAACGGGUGAGUAACACGUGAGUAACCUGCCCUUGACUUUGGGAUAACUUCAGGAAACUGGGGCUAAUACCGGAUAGGAGCUCCUGCUGCAUGGUGGGGGUUGGAAAGUUUCGGCGGUUGUGGAUGGACUCGCGGCUUAUCCGCUUGUUGGUGAGGUAGUGGCUUACCAAGGCUUUGACGGGUAGCCGGCCUUAGAGGGCGGCCGGCCACAUUGGGACUGCGAUACGGCGCAGACGGCUACGGGAGGCAGCAGGGGGGAAUAUUGCACAACGGGCGGAAGCCUGAGGCAGCAACGCCGCGUUCGGGAUGACGGCCUUCGGGGUGUAAACCGCUGUCUCCUGUGACGAAGCGUGAGUGACGGUAAUGGGUAAAGAAGCACCGGCUAACUACGUG